rnacentral:miRNA from 1 species
UACUUAAUGAAAUAAGUAAACAUAAUAUACAUAAUGGCUUCAUGGUUAAUGGUUAAUAUUACUAUUCUAAUAUGAUGAUAUAAUGAUUAUUUAU